GGCNCGUACAGAGGGUUNCCAAGGGGUGACCUGGAGCCAAUCCCACAAAGCGCGUCGUAGUCCGGAUUNCAGUCUGCAACUCGNCUGCAUGAAGUCGGAAUCGCUAGUAAUCGCGGAUCAGCAUGUCGCGGUGAAUACGUUCCCGGGUCUUGUACACGCCGCCCGUCACACCAUGGGAGUGGGUUUCACCAGAAGCCGGUCGCCUAACCCCAAGGGGGGCGCCGACCACGGUGAGAUUCAUGACUGGGGUGAAGUCGUAACAAGGUUUCC
rnacentral:rRNA from 1 species